GCCGGAGUGGCGGAAUGGCAGACGCGACGGACUCAAAAUCCGUUAUCCGUAAGGGUGUGUGGGUUCAAGUCCCUCCUCCGGUA
rnacentral:tRNA from 1 species